UACGUAGGGUGCGAGCGUUGUCCGGAAUUACUGGGCGUAAAGAGCUCGUAGGUGGUUUGUCGCGUUGUUCGUGAAAACUCACAGCUCAACUGUGGGCGUGCGGGCGAUACGGGCAGACUAGAGUACUGCAGGGGAGACUGGAAUUCCUGGUGUAGCGGUGGAAUGCGCAGAUAUCGGGAAGAACACCCGUGGCGAAGGCGGCUCUCUGGGACGGUACUGACGCUGAGACGCGAAAGCGUGGGGAGCGAACAGG
rnacentral:rRNA from 1 species